UAGCCGUAAACGAUACUCGCUAGGUGUCGGCCACGGUGCGACCGUUGUCGGUGCCGUAGGGAAGCCGCGAAGCGAGCCACCUGGGAAGUACGGCCGCAAGGCUGAAACUUAAAGGAAUUGGCGGGGGAGCACCACAACGGGUGGAGCUUGCGGUUUAAUUGGAUUCAACGCCGGAAAUCUUACCGGGACCGACAGCAACAUGAAGGCCAGGCUGAAGACUUUGCCGGAUUAGCUGAGAGGUGGUGCAUGGCGUAGUCGUGU
rnacentral:rRNA from 1 species